CGAGCAACCUGCCCUUGACUCUGGGAUAACAGUUGGAAACAGCUGCUAAUACUGGAUACGACCUCCGAUGGGCAUCAUCUGGAGAUGGAAAGCUCCGACGGUCAAGGAUGGGCUCGCGGCCUAUCAGCUUGUUGGUGAGGUAAUAGCUCAUCAAGGCGAUGACGGGUAGCCGGCCUGAGAGGGUGACCGGCCACACUGGGACUGAGACAGGCCCAACG
rnacentral:rRNA from 1 species